UGCUGGAGGUAUCAGAAGUGCGAAUGCUGACAUAAGUAACGAUAAAGCGGGUGAAAAGCCCGCUCGCCGGAAGACCAAGGGUUCCUGUCCAACGUUAAUCGGGGCAGGGUGAGUCGACCCCUAAGGCGAGGCCGAAAGGCGUAGUCGAUGGGAAACAGGUUAAUAUUCCUGUACUUGGUGUUACUGCGAAGGGGGGACGGAGAAGGCUAUGUUGGCCGGGCGACGGUUGUCCCGGUUUAAGCGUGUAGGCUGGUUUUCCAGGCAAAUCCGGAAAACCAAGGCUGAGGCGUGAUGACGAGGCACUACGGUGCUGAAGCGACAAAUGCCCUGCUUCCAGGAAAAGCCUCUAAGCAUCAGGUAACAUCAAAUCGUACCCCAAACCGACACAGGUGGUCAGGUAGAGAAUACCAAGGCGCUUGAGAGAACUCGGGUGAAGGAACUAGGCAAAAUGGUGCCGUAACUUCGGGAGAAGGCACGCUGAUAUGUAGGUGAAGCGACUUGCUCGUGGAGCUGAAAUCAGUCGAAGAUACCAGCUGGCUGCAACUGUUUAUUAAAAACACAGCACUGUGCAAACACGAAAGUGGACGUAUACGGUGUGACGCCUGCCCGGUGCCGGAAGGUUAAUUGAUGGGGUUAGCGGCAACGCGAAGCUCUUGAUCGAAGCCCCGGUAAACGGCGGCCGUAACUAUAACGGUCCUAAGGUAGCGAAAUUCCUUGUCGGGUAAGUUCCGACCUGCACGAAUGGCGUAAUGAUGGCCAGGCUGUCUCCACCCGAGACUCAGUGAAAUUGAACUCGCUGUGAAGAUGCAGUGUACCCGCGGCAAGACGGAAAGACCCCGUGAACCUUUACUAUAGCUUGACACUGAACAUUGAGCCUUGAUGUGUAGGAUAGGUGGGAGGCUUUGAAGUGUGGACGCCAGUCUGCAUGGAGCCGACCUUGAAAUACCACCCUUUAAUGUUUGAUGUUCUAACGUUGGCCCGUAAUCCGGGUUGCGGACAGUGUCUGGUGGGUAGUUUGACUGGGGCGGUCUCCUCCUAAAGAGUAACGGAGGAGCACGAAGGUUGGCUAAUCCUGGUCGGACAUCAGGAGGUUAGUGCAAUGGCAUAAGCCAGCUUGACUGCGAGCGUGACGGCGCGAGCAGGUGCGAAAGCAGGUCAUAGUGAUCCGGUGGUUCUGAAUGGAAGGGCCAUCGCUCAACGGAUAAAAGGUACUCCGGGGAUAACAGGCUGAUACCGCCCAAGAGUUCAUAUCGACGGCGGUGUUUGGCACCUCGAUGUCGGCUCAUCACAUCCUGGGGCUGAAGUAGGUCCCAAGGGUAUGGCUGUUCGCCAUUUAAAGUGGUACGCGAGCUGGGUUUAGAACGUCGUGAGACAGUUCGGUCCCUAUCUGCCGUGGGCGCUGGAGAACUGAGGGGGGCUGCUCCUAGUACGAGAGGACCGGAGUGGACGCAUCACUGGUGUUCGGGUUGUCAUGCCAAUGGCACUGCCCGGUAGCUAAAUGCGGAAGAGAUAAGUGCUGAAAGCAUCUAAGCACGAAACUUGCCCCGAGAUGAGUUCUCCCUGACUCCUUGAGAGUCCUGAAGGAACGUUGAAGACGACGACGUUGAUAGGCCGGGUGUGUAAGCGCAGCGAUGCGUUGAGCUAACCGGUACUAAUGAACCGUGAGGCUUAACCUUACAACGCCGAAG
rnacentral:rRNA from 1 species